GAGGCUGGUAAGAAAUGACUUAUUUGUUGUUAAAUUACCGACUUGGAGAUUUCAUGGAUGCAUGUGUUCAUUCUGUGGCCUUGAACUGAUCCAAGCUGUAGGACCUGCUGUGAUUGUUUUCUCCCCUCUUGUUCUGUCCCUUCACUGGUUGUUCUAACUUGCAGCUGUUGGAAAGUCUGAUUCCAGCACUACCGGAUGGUUCAAGCGAAUCGUCAGGGAAGCGAAGGACUUCUCAGCUGGAGUUUGUGGUCAGUUUGCAACUAUUGUUCUGGUCAGGUUUGUCAGUUUGUGUCAACUGUGGUGCCAGAGCCUGUGAUCGCGACUUUGGCGCACGGAAUGCUUGCAAAGUCGGUUCAGCAGCCUCUCGGUAAUGCGAGAAUGUGGGUACGAACUGGUGCACAGUUCAGGUUUACGGUUCACUAGACAUCAAAACUGUCACAGUGAAGCAAGUCUGUUUGAAGAUCAUGAGUGGGUCGUAUAAAUGAACCUGGCUACUGCAUGGAACCUUUGUACCCUUCCAUGCUUUCAUUACAUAUAUUGGAUGUUCAUUGCCUCCGAGAACCCUCCCAAGGCCCUUAUCUCUUGCAGUUGCAUAGCUCUGAAACAGAGUUCAGUGGCUUGCACAAAGAGAUUAUUGAACCAUGGGCUGUGAAAGACCUGGACGUAAAGGUGGAGAUUGGUGGAAGAGGCUAUUAAUUGGCUUUGAUCACCAACCGCUCGGACCUUCUAUGUUCGAUAGCUCUGAAUCUUUAUGAGGAAGCGUUCAUAGAACGGAAACGCAUAACCCACUAGAGAGACCUAACAAUUAGUGUGAUCUUUGUUUAACACAACAUUGUAGCAAAUCAACGUUCAAAAACAUCAUACUUUUUUCACAAAAAAAAAUUAUCAGUGUCCCAACACUUCAGUAACUUGUUGCGAGUCUAGGGAUAAUUGUUGCGCUGUUCGAAAUCUCUCAUCUCUUUUGCCACUUCAACUAUCGAGAUCGUUAAUGUUACACUAACCAUGACAUUUCAUAAAUGUUUUAGGUAACCUUUGCAAAUGAUCAAAGGAUCAAAGUUAUUGGUUAAAUUUCUGUGAAAAUCGAUGAAAUGACAACAUUGAACAGAAAUCAACAUUAUGAGGAGGUCGUAGUAAACAUUGUCCACAUUUUAGUUCCGGUUUGUACUCACACUUCUCUGAAGCGCUUGAGAGGGUUGUAAGAUCACAGGGUUUAGGACUUAUCCUGCUAGCACGAUGUGGGUAAAUUGCGUGAAGGAGACGAUCCUUUGCAAUGUUUCUGUGCUCAGCAUUAAGCAGACAGGCUAAUCUGUCUCAUUUGCCACUUACCUACACCUGCGAUGGGCGGCAGGUAGUUGAGAUUAAAGGAGUAAUUUCGCCCCUCACAAGCAAGGAGUCGUCAUGUAAGAUCUUCAAACUUAAUCAGCUGGGUAUGUCCCUUCACUCAGGGAUCCGAUCUCUUCCCUCAACAAAAGUGGAGUUCGGUAUCACUUUGGGUUCACUUGGUGACGCUCUCGUCAGGGCAAGCAGUUUGCGCUGAUGCUGGCACUAGCGAUUGAAUGCGUUCCACGGAAACUGCACACCAAUGAAGACCAAGUAACGGAGGACAAUCACCUGAUGUGCGUGCAAUCUGUUGUGGAGAAAAGGGAGGGUGUUACCAGAUCAUCGAAAAAUUAAUACGGCAAUGUUCCUUGUAGCACUCUUUCCUGUCUGUCUUUCUGUCCGCACGUUGUCUUGCCCGGGUUCAUGCUGUGGCUUGUUUCGGGCGUGCUUCAGGACACAGAGAAACAUCAAAACAUGCUUAAAUCCCAUUGAAGUGUCUGUGAACGUUGCUAUUUGGAGGACCGACUUUUGCUCUUGGUGCCUUGAAGCUCAGCGACACUUGAAUGGGCUUUUCCUUCAGAUCUCAAAACUAAUUUCUCCUCUUCCCCAUGUACUUCAAGAGUUAGGAUGUGGUCCGAUUCCACGUGUCCCUCGGGAUUUAGGAUAUAGUCUGUGUUCUUUAGCAAUGUAAUGUAUGAAUCUUACGGUAGCUAAACAUGGGGUUCCAAAACCUUGGUCGCUAGAAAAGGAGAAUGAAGUGCGCAUGCUGCACCCCAGCUGGUGUGUUCCACAAGGCUUCUAUGCAUCCGCGCAGGGGUUCUUCUUUGCAUGUCAGUCAUUUCGAGUUUUUCACUUUCUCAUCGGGUGUCUUCGCUAGGCAAUGAGGCAAUUGGAUGUGAAUAGACGUUCUAUUGCUGUACCAGAUUGCUGAAUUGGAGGUCAGAAGUAAUUUGCAGCUUGGGAAGCAUUCAACUUUUGCAGUAUUUUGUCAUUUGUCCUUGAAUCAGGUUUAGCCGGAGUGAUAUGCGUCUGUAGCUCCCACCUUCUUCAGUAUUUCACGUUUCGGUUCAAUUCACUUGAUCAUCUCAUGAACAGUAGAGCUGCUUUUCCAGCGA